AUCCAGCUGACGCGUCCCAAAUAGGACGAAACGCGCGUCCUGGAU
rfam:Schistosoma haematobium scaffold2499_3, whole genome shotgun sequence.